UGAUGAUAUAUGUAUGAGAGCUAAGCAGGCCAGUGAUAAGAGCUGGAGUGGUUUGUUUUGAAAACAUCCAGUUGGAAACAGACGUGCUUCAGAUCCAUGUAUGAUACCGUGAAAGGAGGCGAUUUGUUUGCAAAAAGAGUCUGUUUUGAGCGGUAGGAAAACAGAUUUGUUCAGGGUUGCCUUGGUUGCGGGCCAAAGAUUAGUUAAAAAUGGUUCAAUUUUUUACAAUUAGGUUCAAGUGUCUAGAUAAUCACGCUCAAGUGGCAGGCAAUCAUCCAAAAAUAGCUUUCUGGAAAGUUUUGGAGAAACAGCAGGAAACACCUUGUGUGCAUCUCUACCCAUCAGAUCAACUGGGAAUAAUGAAGGAUGAUAGUUCUCCACGCCUUAACUGCCCUUUUAACCUAACUGGACAAUCAAUCGAAAAGAGGUCAGAGACCAAACAGGAAGGGAAGCACAAGAACUGAAAACUCCCAAGCCAAUCACCAAAAUCAUUUAUUUGGAAACUCCUGUUUCACAUGCCCAAUUAAGCCACACAGCCACUAAUACUAGUCAGCUCUGUGGGACAUUCCACUUCAGUGAAGACCACGUCAGGAUUAUUGACUCCCUCAAACCAGCCGAACCUCCACUGGCAGCCAGGCUGCAAGCUGGAGGGCAACUCGCUGCACUCCUAAAGAAAACCCUUAGUUUCCCCCGUUGCAAACUCCUUGGAGAGUUACCUCUAAAGAGCUGACGCCACUGAUCGGGUCUCCCCAGCCCCCAACAGGAGCGUCCCAUUCUCUGGUGCAUCCAGUGGAG